rnacentral:tRNA from 1 species
UUCAGGGUGGAGCAGCAUGGUAGCUCGUCGGGCUCAACUCUCGACAAAAGAAUCGAAGGUCGUCGCUUUUAUUCAAAUCCUGCUCCCGCAACCA